rnacentral:rRNA from 1 species
ACGACUGCUAAUACCGCAUAAGCCCACGGCUCGGCAUCGAGCAGAGGGAAAAGGAGCAAUCCGCUUUGAGAUGGCCUCGCGUCCGAUUAGCUAGUUGGUGAGGUAACGGCCCACCAAGGCGACGAUCGGUAGCCGGACUGAGAGGUUGAACGGCCACAUUGGGACUGAGACACGGCCCAGACUCCUACGGGAGGCAGCAGUGGGGAAUAUUGCACAGUGGGGGAAACCCUGAUGCAGCGACGCCGCGUGGAGGAAGAAGGUCUUCGGAUUGUAAACUCCUGUUGUUGAGGAAGAUAAUGACGGUACUCAACAAGGAAGUGACGGCUAACUACGUGCCAGCAGCCGCGGUAAAACGUAGGUCACAAGCGUUGUCCGGAAUUACUGGGUGUAAAGGGAGCGCAGGCGGGAGAACAAGUUGGAAGUGAAAUCCAUGGGCUCAACCCAUGAACUGCUUUCAAAACUGUUUUUCUUGAGUAGUGCAGAGGUAGGCGGAAUUCCCGGUGUAGCGGUGGAAUGCGUAGAUAUCGGGAGGAACACCAGUGGCGAAGGCGGCCUACUGGGCACCAACUGACGCUGAGGCUCGAAAGUGUGGGUAGCAAACAGGAUUAGAUACCCUGGUAGUCC